UACGAAGGGGGCUAGCGUUGCUCGGAAUCACUGGGCGUAAAGGGUGCGUAGGCGGGUCUUUAAGUCAGGGGUGAAAUCCUGGAGCUCAACUCCAGAACUGCCUUUGAUACUGAAGAUCUUGAGUUCGGGAGAGGUGAGUGGAACUGCGAGUGUGGAGGUGAAAUUCGUAGAUAUUCGCAAGAACACCAGUGGCGAAGGCGGCUCACUGGCCCGAUACUGACGCUGAGGCACGAAAGCUAGGGGAGCGAACAGG
rnacentral:rRNA from 1 species